GCUGCUGUUGUUGCUGUGAUAAGUCCUGCAGCCUGUAGGAGGCGCUCUAAGCUCACUGCUGCUCUCUGUAAACUCUUCAGUUCAGACUGAUGCAGGUUCUGAGAUCAGCCGCUGUGAGAAGUUCAACAGAUUCACUUUACCUUUGUCUGGCCAAAGAUUGAAUCGUGGAAAAGUUCCUAAAAGAGGAUCCAAAAGUUUUUAUGGACUGUUUGAAUAACUUUAUUAGUUUCCUCCAGCAGGACGAACACAGACAAAUUUGCAGCUGCGAAGGACCAAGAAGGACGUUCCAACCAGGCAGCAGCUGGACGCACAGCUGGAUGACUACAUGUCCAUGUCCCGGAGAAGACUGGACCAACAGCUGGACGAGUACAUGUCCAUGGCAGGACAGACGCUGGUCUGGGACGGAGAUGGAGAAGACGAAGACUGAAGACUGAAAGGACUAAAAUUACUAAAAAGGACUGAGACUCUGAGACUUCGAGGACAGAAACUGAAGACUGUGAGGGUUCUGUGGACGAUGUUCAGUGUGGUUGUAGACAGUUUGUCUGAUGUUGGACAGAUUCCAGCUGUGGAUUCUGCAGCUGCUUUUAUUUACUGACUGAAAGCAGCUUCAGCAUAGUUUAGUUUGUGUGACUAUCGGCUCCCAGGUGAGCCUGCUGACUGGCUGCUGCUCUCAGGUGGAGCAGUGUGACUUUAGUUAUUGUCAAGUGAGCUGCAGCAGGAUUGGAAGAACACAUGUUGCUGUGUUGUUGUGUUCUCUUGUUUUGUUUCUUUGACCUGGCCAGUGUGUGUGCACUUCACUGAUCUGUGUGUUUUGGAAAUCCUGUAAAGAGUUAAAUAAAACAUAAACAGUCACAGUUUAAACUGCAGAGUUUCUUUCAUUAGAACUUUAAAACAACAACUGGUGGUUCAGUAAAAAGUUGAUGUCUGAGAUUGUGUUUCUGUUGUCCUGCAGGCAGUGAAGGCAGCUGCAGUUUCUGAAUAGCAACAGAAGAUUAUUGUCUGGAGAUAUUCAGGGUUCGAUCGAUGAUCAGGAGAAUUUAAAGUAGGAACCAGCUCAGAUGCCAGACGUGUCUUCUGUCAGUAACAGAAUGAUGGAAAUCAGGAAAAAUAGUUUAAAAAAUUCUUUAUUUCAUAAAAAUGUACAAAACCUGGAAUCAGUAUGUCCACAGCAGUUACCAACAUUGGAAGCAUGGUAGAUAUAGAUAAACACUAUAGAGAUGUUUGGAGUUUAUUGAUCUGUCAGUUGUAACUGAUCAGAUUGUUCUUGUUUACAGUUUUUGAUGUGAUUUUCUCAUUUGGUCAUAAAUGCAGCAGCACAGAUCACAAAUCUGACAUUUUCAUGUGAAUCUGGAAAUAAUCAGAAACCUCUGAAAGCAGAAGCCAACUGUGUUGAGCAGCAGGAAGGUUUCAGGUUGUGUUGAUCAAUCAGUUUGAUCAUAUCAGUGAUUGUGUUUCUUCACAUGAUCCGAUCAAUAGGUCCAGAUCCAGCUGCUCCUCUGAGCCUUAUUUUGGUUCUUCCACAUCUUUUUGUGGUUCUUUGCAUUUAAGUUCUGACAUUUUUGUGUAUUAUUUGGUGUAACUGACUUCUUUAGAUGAGCUUAGAUGGGUACUUUAAUGUUUUAAUGGUUGUUUUAUGUCUCAUUUUCAUAGUUUAACACAUUUUUAGUGGUUGUUUGCACUAAACUGUAGUUUUUGUGUCUUGUUUUCUCUGAUAGUGUGUCUAUAUGUGUGCAGUUCCCUGACAUUAUACACAUACUGAACAUUCUCCUGCAGCUGUACAUCUCUCUCUCUCACUCACACACACACACACACACACACACACACACACACACACACGAUGUAACAGCACAGAGACACCUGCUGACACAACACACACUGAUUAAACAACUGUGCACCACAAAGUGUGCAUGGAGAUCAGAUCAGAGCUGAUCAAUGAUUCUGAUUGAUUUUUGAUAUGGAUCACUUCCUGAGCAGAACAUUCUCGGUUGUUCUCUGCCUGGGUUCUUGCAGCAGAACCGUGUGUUCCACUUUGUUGUUCAGACUGAAACCAGCUGCAGCAGGUUCUGCACGUUGUGAGUGCACUCGGUUCUAUAUUCAGCUGCAGGUUUCAGCUGCAGCUUCCCAGAAGCUUCAGACACAAAUAGAUCAGCAGACGUUUGCUGUGUUCGGAUCUUUGGUCAGUGGGUUCUGUUGGUUCUGCAGGAACUGCUUUAUGUGUUCUGUGAUAGAACCCACAAACUGCUGGCUCAGUUUUUACUGGAACAUGAGAACGUGACACAACCUCAGCGCGUGAAGAGGAAUCCAUGAAACCAAAGUAUAACGAAACAACAUCGAUCAAAGUGCAGCUUUAAGAUUUAAAAUUGUUUCUGUGAUUCAGACAAGCCGAUUCACUGUUUACUGCUGUUCAUCAUUUGCAUUCAUUAAUUUUUCUUAUUAUGAACAAUUGCUGAAUGGUUAUAGUUAAUUUUUAGUGGGUUUUUUAACCAUAGUUCAUUCAUUGUGGACAAUUUUAGUGUCAUUUUGAACAAAGUUUGCAUUCUGAUGUGCAGGUAUGUGACACCUGACUGCUGGAGUUUAAGUGUUUGAUGUAAAUCCAGGUUAUUUUUUUCUGAUUUCAGACCGCAGAAAUAAUCUGAGGGCACGUGUUGCUCUGCAGAUUCAACAACAACAUUAAAGGAUCCUCAGAAAUAGAAAGUGACGAAGUCCACUCUGCACAGACUCAUGUUCAUCUGCUGCUGCUUCACUGGAGCUCAUUCAUUUACAGUUUCCACAUCUUGUUUGUUGUCCAUCGUCACAAGAUGGUGGAAGGCAGCAGCUCUGAGCUCUCCACUCCGGUGCAGUCUGUUAAUGUGUGUGUAGACCUGUGGCACUAACAUCUGUGGUUAUGAAGUGCUUUGAGAGGCUAGUCCUUCACCUCCUCCAUUCCUGCCUCCCUGCAAACUUUGACCAGCACCAAUUUGCUUAUAGAGCUAUCAGGUCGACAGCUGAUACCAUCAUCACUGCCCUGCACACCGCCGUGAGCCACUGAGAGAAACCGCACGACUGUGAGAAUGCUUUUUGUGGAUUUAAGUUCGGCAUAUAAUACCGUCCUGCCUGACAUCCUUGUCAAAAAGCUAACUGACAUGGACUUCCCACCCUUCACUUGUGACAGGAUUCAGAACUUCCUGUGCGAUCGCCCACGAACAGUGAGAGUUGGACCUCAGAGAUCUUCCAUCCUGACACUCAGCACAGGCUCCACUCAGGGCAGCUUUGUACACAUAUGACUGCGUCUCCUCCCACCACUCAGACAUCAUCGGCAAAUUGACAGAUGAAACAACAGUGGUGGGUCUCAUGGUGACGGAGGAGCAUACAGAGAGGAGGUCCUGAUGUUCAUGUCGUUAUGCUCAGAUAAUGUCCUUUUGUUGAACACCAGUAAAAUGAAAGAGAUGGUGGAGGGCUUUAGGAGGUUGAUGGGAGAUCCUGCUUCACUACAGAUCAACAGUUUCUGCGUGGAGUCAGUCUACCAACAUGACAGAGACUGCACUACUUAGACUGUUGAGGAAAUGUCACCUGGAGACUUUCUAUUGUUCCAUGAUAGAAAGUGUGCUGGCAUCACAGUGUGGCCGGUUGUACAACUCAGGACAGAAAAGCCCUCCAGGGGGUAAUAAGAUCAACCCAGAAAAUAAUCGAGUACCCCCAUUGCAAACUGUCUGAUCUCUCACACCCUGGCUGGGGUCUCUUCAACCUCCUGCUUUCUGACAGGAAGUACAGAAACACUGGAUACUGGACAAACUGACUGAGGAGCUGUUUUUAUCCGUGGGCACGUAAAUUUUUAAACUCAAAGAAGUAACCUCCAAGGAUACAUCCGGACAGUUUUUCUCUUGGCGAAACAUAGGGCAGUGCAACAUGAAUGUGUGUACAUGGGGACUUUUGUUGUUCUCUCCAUUUGUUACUUUUAUUAUGUAUGCAUAAUUGUAUUUUUAAGUACAUUAUGGGGAGAUACUCCCACCAGUUUUGCUGUAUAAUGACGAAGGUUUUGCUGUUCUUAUUUACAGUUUUUCACAAUA